rnacentral:rRNA from 1 species
GACGAGGGGUCCUAGCGUUGUUCGGAAUCAUUGGGCGUAAAGCGUGUGUAGGCUGCCAUUCAAGUCAGUUGUGAAAUCCCCGGGCUUAACCCGGGAAGUGCUUCUGAUACUGUUUGGCUUGAGUACUGGAGAGGAUAGUAGAAUUCCUGGUGUAGUGGUGAAAUACGUAGAUAUCAGGAGGAAUACCGGUGGCGAAGGCGGCUAUCUGGACGAUGACUGACGCUGAGACGCGAAAGCGUGGGGAGCAAACAGG